rnacentral:rRNA from 1 species
GCAUAUCAAUAAGCGGAGGAAAAGAAACCAACAGGGAUUGCCCUAGUAACGGCGAGUGAAGCGGCAACAGCUCAAAUUUGAAAGCUAGCCUUCGGGUUCGCAUUGUAAUUUGUAGAGGAUGAUUUGGGGAAGCCGCCUGUCUAAGUUCCUUGGAACAGGACGUCAUAGAGGGUGAGAAUCCCGUAUGUGACAGGAAAUGGCACCCUAUGUAAAUCUCCUUCGACGAGUCGAGUUGUUUGGGAAUGCAGCUCUAAAUGGGAGGUAAAUUUCUUCUAAAGCUAAAUAUUGGCGAGAGACCGAUAGCGCACAAGUAGAGUGAUCGAAAGAUGAAAAGCACUUUGGAAAGAGAGUUAAAAAGCACGUGAAAUUGUUGAAAGGGAAGCGCUUGCAAUCAGACUUGUUUAAACUGUUCGGCCGGUCUUCUGACCGGUUUACUCAGUUUGGACAGGCCAGCAUCAGUUUCGGCGGCCGGAUAAAGGCUCUGGGAAUGUGGCCUCCACUUCGGUGGAGGUGUUAUAGCCCAGGGUGUAAUACGGCCAGCCGGGACUGAGGUCCGCGCUUCGGCUAGGAUGCUGGCGUAAUGGUUGUAAGCGACCCGUCUUGAAACACGGACCAAGGAGUCUAACAUCUAUGCGAGUGUUCGGGUGUCAAACCCCUGCGCGUAAUGAAAGUGAACGGAGGUGGGAACCCGCAAGGGUGCACCAUCGACCGAUCCUGAUGUCUUCGGAUGGAUUUGAGUAAGAGCAUAGCUGUUGGGACCCGAAAGAUGGUGAACUAUGCCUGAAUAGGGUGAAGCCAGAGGAAACUCUGGUGGAGGCUCGCAGCGGUUCUGACGUGCAAAUCGAUCGUCAAAUUUGGGUAUAGGGGCGAAAGACUAAUCGAACCAUCUAGUAGCUGGUUCUGC